GACGAACGCUGGCGGCGUGCUUAACACAUGCAAGUCGAACGGAAAGGCCCUGCUUUUGUGGGGUGCUCGAGUGGCGAACGGGUGAGUAACACGUGAGUAACCUGCCCUUGACUGUGGGAUAACUUCAGGAAACUGGGGCUAAUACCGGAGAGGAGCUCCUGCUGCAUGGUGGGGGUUGGAAAGUUUCGGCGGUUGGGGAUGGACUCGCUGCUUAUCAGCUUGUUGGUGGGGUAGUGGCUUACCAAGGCUUUGACGGCUAGGCGGCCUGAGCGGGUGGACGGGCACAUGAGGACUAAGAGACGGCGCAGUCUCCUACGGGAGGCAGCAGUGGGGAAUAUUGCACAGCGGCCGGACGCGUGAUGCAGCAACGCUCCGUGCGGGAUGCCGGCUUACGGGGUGUAAACCGCUUUCGCCUGUGACGAAGCGUGCGUGACGGUAAUGGGUAAAGAAGCACCGGCUAACUACGUG
rnacentral:rRNA from 1 species